rnacentral:lncRNA from 1 species
CAGGAUUUCAGCUGACACUGAGCAAAGGCCUGAAGACAAACCCCUAGGGAUGCAUGUUGCAGUCCUAGGAUGGAAAGUCUGGUGAAAUCAGCCUGUCAUGCCAGGCACUGAAGAAAAUACGUGUUGAAAAAAGUGCCUGUUCCCAGGCUUUCAGACUAAAUAACACCAGACCAAAGGUGAAGAGGAAGCAGAAGCCUGGACAAGGGAUUUGAUGGAUUUCCUGCAGCAAGUCCAUGCCCAGGGUGGAACUGAGUCCAAACAUCUCACACCUGGCUUGUAACAACCAGGGUGAAGCUGUUCCCCAGCCUGCCUUGCACUGAUCAGGUUAUGAUUUUCCUGCCUAUUGCUAUCACAUAAAAUCAGGAAUGCUGCAAAAAUUGUCCAAAAGAACAGGAAUCAAAUUGGAUUGACAUAUUUCUUGGACACCACAAUCCAGUGGGAAAGCUAAAAGAAAACCUAAGAAAGCAAAUGAGCCAAAUCUUCCAAAACCCUCAGAUGGCCACAUUCCCUGGCAUUGCUGAGGACUUCAGCCAAGCUCCAAGAAAGAGGUGAGCCCAUAUGGAA